rnacentral:rRNA from 1 species
GAUGAACGCUGGCGGCGUGCCUAAUACAUGCAAGUCGAGCGAACAGAUGAGGAGCUUGCUCCUUUGACGUUAGCGGCGGACGGGUGAGUAACACGUGGGUAACCUACCUAUAAGACUGGAAUAACUCCGGGAAACCGGAGCUAAUGCCGGAUAACAUUUAGAACCGCAUGGUUCUAUAGUGAAAGACGGUUUUGCUAUCACUUAUAGAUGGACCCGCGCCGCAUUAGCUAGUUGGUAAGGUAACGGCUUACCAAGGCAACGAUGCGUAGCCGACCUGAGAGGGUGAUCGGCCACACUGGAACUGAGACACGGUCCAGACUCCUACGGGAGGCAGCAGUAGGGAAUCUUCCGCAAUGGGCGAAAGCCUGACGGAGCAACGCCGCGUGAGUGAUGAAGGUCUUCGGAUCGUAAAACUCUGUUAUUAGGGAAGAACAAAUGUGUAAGUAACUGUGCACGUCUUGACGGUACCUAAUCAGAAAGCCACGGCUAACUACGUG